AAUAAAUAAAAUAAAGAAAAAUCACAUGAUUUUUAGAUGAAUAUUUAACCAUUUUAUUAACUUAAACUAUAAUAAUGUAUUUGAAAAUUCAUUGACAAGUUGGCAAUCUAAUCAAGAUGAGAAAUCACAUGACUUUUUCGAGCACCUAAUUAAAAUCACCUCGACUUUUUUGAGGUUUAUCCUAUGAUUUACAGUGACAUUUUUCUUCUUGAUAGCUAGAGGAAUGUAUUAAAAACACGCCAAAUUAUGGCGGGAAUAAGGAGAUGCACAUCUGCAAAGGCACGCAGAUAUAAAAAAGAACAGGGCGAAGAAGAAUAGGCCAACAAACCACAAGAAACAAGAAAAAACAGAGCAACUGCCCUAAAAUGCCUCCACACAGAAACAGAGCUGCCAAAACUAAACAAUCAGACUAUCUCCGACUAUUUUAAAAGAACAAGAGAGGUCUUUAGACCAAGCACCUGCUAAACCAGUCAUUGCCUCUAUAGAAUGCAAAACAAGCAAACCUACUAAACAACAGACCUUCUCCACCAAGAGCCAUAAGCAGAACUAAAACAAAAGAAGACCCACAAAUCAUCUGGUUGAUUCAGAUCCAAGCAACAAAUUCACUUGUUCUGCGCACUCCCUGUUUAGCCAAGUGAUCUGCCAUGUGAUUACUCUCAUUAUAAGAGUGGGUGAAAGUAAUUGAACCAAAACGUGAAACCAAUCUCUUCACUGAGGAGAAGAGCUUAUGGUGCAACCAAGGUCUGUUACGAGGGUUAUUCAUCCCGCUAAUGAGAUUGACAGUCAUAUUCAAUAAUAAUAUGCUUAUGAUCAUUAGGGGCGGAGAGUUCAAUAGCUUUGAC
rnacentral:lncRNA from 1 species